rnacentral:rRNA from 1 species
UAGGGAAUCUUCCGCAAUGGGCGAAAGCUUGACGGAGCAACGCCGCGUGAGUGAUGAAGGUCUUCGGAUCGUAAAACUCUGUUAUUAGGGAAGAACAAAUGUGUAAGUAACUAUGCACGUCUUGACGGUACCUAAUCAGAAAGCCACGGCUAACUACGUGCCAGCAGCCGCGGUAAUACGUAGGUGGCAAGCGUUAUCCGGAAUUAUUGGGCGUAAAGCGCGCGUAGGCGGUUUUUUAAGUCUGGUGUGAAAGCCCACGGCUCAACCGUGGAGGGUCAUUGGAAACUGGAAAACUUGAGUGCAGAAGAGGAAAGUGGAAUUCCAUGUGUAGCGGUGAAAUGCGCAGAGAUAUGGAGGAACACCAGUGGCGAAGGCGACUUUCUGGUCUGUAACUGACGCUGAUGUGCGAAAGCGUGGGGAUCAAACAGG